UACGUAGGGGGCUAGCGUUGUCCGGAAUUAUUGGGCGUAAAGCGCUUGUAGGCGGCACGUCAAGUCGCGUGUGAAAUCCCCAGGCUUAACCUGGGAAGUGCGCGCGAAACUGACGAGCUUGAGUGCCGGAGAGGGUCGCGGAAUUCCCGGUGUAGAGGUGAAAUUCGUAGAUAUCGGGAGGAACACCAGUGGCGAAGGCGGCGACCUGGACGGACACUGACGCUGAGACGCGAAAGCGUGGGGGGCAAACAGG
rnacentral:rRNA from 1 species